UGCGACUGCUCAUGAAGCUAAGAGAUUAGUCUUUCCCUUCGGGGACAUGGAUACAGGUGGUGCAUGGUUGUCGUCAGCUCGUGUCGUGAGAUGUUGGGUUAAGUCCCGCAACGAGCGCAACCCUUAUUAUCAGUUGCCAGCAUUCAGUUGGGCACUCUGGUGAGACUGCCGGUGACAAACCGGAGGAAGGUGGGGACGACGUCAAAUCAUCAUGCCCCUUAUGACCUGGGCUACACACGUGCUACAAUGGUCGGUACAACGUGCUGCGAACUCGCGAGGGUAAGCAAAUCACUUAAAACCGAUCUCAGUUCGGAUUGUAGGCUGCAACUCGCCUACAUGAAGCUGGAAUCGCUAGUAAUCGCGGAUCAGCAUGCCGCGGUGAAUACGUUCCCGGGUCUGAAC
rnacentral:rRNA from 1 species